rnacentral:lncRNA from 1 species
AGCAAAUGUUUACAUUAUGAAAAGGUUUAGAAAAGACAUCUUUGUUCAGAGACCUAAGCCACUAUGAAAGGGAAAGAGGCAAGGAAGCAAUGAAGAUACUACAGUGAACUUGGUUUUGCAAAAAGAGCAAGAAUUAGCAAAGCAGAGUAAGGAGAUCCAAGGCAGAGAAAAAGCAAAGAAGUAUGAAACAGAGAAAGUAUGAAAAAGCAAAGAAGUAUGAAACAAGAUGACAAUAUGAGAAUUGGUGGUCUCAUAUCACUGAAAUGUCAGGCACAAAGCAAAGUAGUCCAAGAUGAAAC